AAAGGAGGGCACUACUACUCAUGCCAGGGGGAACUUGGUCAAUGGCACAAGGGAGAUGGGUGGCACCUGAUGAAGGCUUGGAAUAAGCAACUAUUUGCCAGACUGUAUCCCAGCCACUAUUUUUCCCUCAACGUCACUAAAUGCAAGGGAAUAAUGAAACCACAGGAGAGAAAAAAGCAGCUGUCUGAAUAAAAGAAGAAAGAGGUAGAUG
rnacentral:lncRNA from 1 species